UACGAAGGGGGCUAGCGUUGCUCGGAAUCACUGGGCGUAAAGGGUGCGUAGGCGGGUCUUAAGUCAGGGGUGAAAUCCUGGAGCUCAACUCCAGAACUGCCUUUGAUACUGAGGAUCUUGAGUUCGGGAGAGGUGAGUGGAACUGCGAGUGUAGAGGUGAAAUUCGUAGAUAUUCGCAAGAACACCAGUGGCGAAGGCGGCUCACUGGCCCGGUACUGACGCUGAGGCGCGAAAGCGU
rnacentral:rRNA from 1 species